UGCGGAAUUUUAGAUAAUGGAGGGAACUCUGAUCUAGCGACGCCGCGUGCAGGAAGAAGGUCUUCGGAUUGUAAACUGCUGUGGUAAGGGAAAAAUGCUAUGUAGAGUGGAAAGCUACAUAGAGGGAUGGUACCUUACUAGAAAGCCCCGGCUAACUACGUGCCAGCAGCCGCGGUAAUACGUAGGGGGCGAGCGUUACCCGGAAUCACUGGUCGUAAAGGGAGCGUAGGUGGCCUAACAUGUCAACUGUGAAAACCCGGAGCUCGACUCCGGACUUGCAGUUGAAACUGGUAGGCUUGAGGACGGUAGAGGAAGACGGAACUGCCAGUGUAGGGGUAAAAUCCUUAGAUAUUGGCAGGAACGCCGGUGACGAAGGUGGUUUUCUGGGCCGGUUCUGACACUGAUGCUCGAAAGCCAGGGGAGCGAACG
rnacentral:rRNA from 1 species